UUGGAGGAAUGUAUAGCAAUAGCUAACUGCACUAAAAAUUUUAGUGUAAAAUCGACUAUGUUGAAUAAAAUUCUGGGUAGUACUAUGAUAAUGACAUUACAUAUUCAUAAGUCUUGACCAAAUUACGUGCCAGCAGUCGCGGUAAUACGUAGAAGACAAGUGUUAUUCAUCUUUAAUAGGUUUAAAGCGUACUUAGACGGUAAAUCAAGCCUCAAAAGGGACUAAUUUGCUAGAGUUUUAUGUGAGAAAGUAUUAAAGUACUGUUGGUGUAGAGAUGAAAUUCUGUCAUACCUUAGAUGGCACAGGUUAUGGCGAAAGCAUCUUUUUAUGUAAAAACUGACGUUGAAGGACGAAGGCUUUGUGUCUCGAACAGGAUUAGAUACCCUAGUAGUCUAAGCAGACAAUGAUGAAUGUCAUAGAUUAGAUGUAAUUUGAUCUAUAAAUGAAAGUGUAAGCAUUCCACCUCAAGAGUAAUUUGGCAACAUUGGAACUGAAAUCAUUAGACCGUUUCUGAAACCAGUAGUGAUGUAUGUUGUUUAAUUUGAUAAUCCGCAAAAAACCUUACCACCAUGUGAAUAGAUAUAUUUUAUCAUACAAGCGUUGCACGGCUGUCUUUAGUUAAUGUCGUGAGACUUUGGUUAGUUCCAUAAAAUUAACGUAAACCCUUACUUUAUUUUAAAAUAAAGUAGCUCACCGCUAUAUUGGAUG
rnacentral:rRNA from 1 species